AACGAACGCUGGCGGCGCGCCUAAUACAUGCAAGUCGAGCGAGAAGACGUAGCAAUACGUUUGUAAAGCGGCGAACGGGUGAGGAAUACAUGGGUAACCUACCCUCGAGUGGGGAAUAACUAGCCGAAAGGUUAGCUAAUACCGCGUACGCUCCUUGGACUUCGGUUCAGGGAGGAAAGCGAUACCGUGGGUAUCGCGCUCUUGGAUGGGCUCAUGUCCUAUCAGCUUGUUGGUGAGGAACGGCUCACCAAGGCUUCGACGGGUAGCUGGUCUGAGAGGACGAUCAGCCACACUGGCACUGCGACACGGGCCAGACUCCUACGGGAGGCAGCAGUGAGGAAUAUUGCGCAAUGGGCGAAAGCCUGACGCAGCGACGCCGCGUGGGGGA
rnacentral:rRNA from 1 species